rnacentral:lncRNA from 1 species
GGCAAUGUGAAGAUUAUUCUGGAUUGGAAAAUGAGAAUAAUGAAUAAGGAAGACUAUGGAACUAUUUCUGUAAUUCGAAGAAGCUACAAUAGAACCUUGAAACAAGAUGGUGGCAGUAAAGCUGAAGAAAAUAAACAGAGAUGAGAAAUGGAGAGAUAUUUAAGAGGUAAAAUGUAUGAAAUUUGAUGAUUAAUAGAAAAUGCAGGUGUGAGAGGAUGGUUUCAAAACCUCCCAUAUUUGUGGGUUUUGAAUUUUGGCACUGUGGUACCAUUUAUUGAUAAAUAGUGCAGAUGGAACAAUUUGGGAAGUAAUCACUGAUAAACUUGAGCAAGUUAAUGAUAGGUGAACAUGUUAUAUUUUAACAAAGUGGAUGGAGCACAAUCACCCUGCUUUGAUAGACCCAGGCACUGACCAACAUGUUUCACAUAUUUCUCCUUUUAUGGAUAAAGUAACUGAGUACAGCAUAGUCUAUAAAGUAAAGAUAGCUUUCUGUUUUAUAAAGAAAUAUUUUCCUACUCUACUUCCUUCACCAUUCACUCAUUCAUUUCUCGAUAAUUCAUCACAUACAUAUUGGACAACUUAUGUGUUACUGAUUUAUCCUGGGUGCUUGAGAUAUGGGAAUGAUCAAGGCAGACUCAGACCUGGGCCAUUUUGACCUUUCAAACUUUCUAAUGUGAAGGUAUUUAGAAUGUACCAGGAAGAAAAAUGACACAACCAUUCUUUAGGCAAUUUGAUAUGUCAUGAGUUACUAAAAAUGUUAAUAUUCUAAAACAAUAAUUUACUUUCUAAGAAUACUUUUUUUAAAUAUCGGAGCUAAGUAAAAAAUUCUCUAUAUUUAUGAAUGUUUUUCAGUGCACUUUAUAACAGGAAAAAGGUCAGAAACUUCUUAAUGACCAAAAAUGGACAUUAUCACAACAUAUGAUACAUUCAUACAAUAUUCUCCACUCAUUAAUAUGGUAUUAUAGAAAAACAUUUUCAGAUAUGGAAAAAUGAUUUUAUUAUAUUGCUUACUACAAAAAAUAUGUACAUAUGAUUCUCACUUUGUAAAAAAAGUAAAAGGUAAAUAUUGAUACACGUGUGACUGAGCCUGGAAAUACAUACUUUGAAGUACUUUUGGGUGAUAUUUUGGUGAUUCCUCUUUGUGCUCUUCUCUGCCCUCUGAAUUUUCUACAAUAAUUAUGUAUUCCUUUGUAAACAAUAGAAAUAUCCAAUCAAUAUAAAUAUUACACAUCAAUUUUGUUGUCGUUCUUGAAAACCUUUUAUAGUGCGUAUAAUUAUUUCUGAGUUAAAACAAAAGUGUGUGUAUGUGUGUGGGUUUAGAAAGGGUGGCUAUAAAACCAUCUUGAUGAUUUUGAGGCUUAUUUCAAUCAGGAGACAAUAAAACUUUAUUAUCAGUGUUUAUGCCUUUCCAUUUCCUAUGGAAAUGGUCAUUAGGUAUAUCCAUGAAAGCCUUUCCAUCCCAGAUAACACUCAGGGGAAUUAACUGAAGAAAAAUGAUUCUUUUCACAGUGAUGUUAUCAUAUGUAAGUUUGAUAGUAUGUUAGUCACAAUUGUUGAAUAUUUCCAAAAAAGAGAUGACAGAUUUAUUUCAUGAAAGACCUAUUAUUAAAUUCUUCCACCAGCAUGUUUCAUUAGACUAUUUUGUUUGAAACUCUACAGUGUUGGUUGUAAAUCCCUGAAGUUCUAGAAACCUUAGGCGGUCCCUUGCAAAACACUGUUCAGUAUUCAAAACCAUGGCAACCAGACAACUUAGUGUCAAAGAAGGAAUACAUAGUAUAUUGUGAAAAGAGCUGGAUUUGAAUGCUACCAUUGACUUGCAUAGAGAUGGUGAGAAAAUCUGUUUUCUUACUUAUACAUUAGAGAUAAUACUUUUUUCAUGUAACACGUAUUUAUGGAGCAAUUACUAUAUGUCAGGCAUUAAGGAAGCUGGGGCGAAACAACAAAUAAAUUAGGAAUGGUUGGCCAACAUUCUCAGCAAAGGGAAGGGAACAAUGUGUAAGGACCUGACAUGGUGAAUAGUAAGAGAAAGAGAGUGUGCAGGUCCAAAGAGUGAGGCAAAUAUGUCAAAUCGCAUCAUAAUCCAGAUAGCAUGAUGCAUAUAUUUUUAUAUUUAUAAAAAUAUUUACAUUUUUAUUGUUACCUCUAAUGUUUAACCAUUGCAAUGUAUAUUUUAAAUUCAUCAGUUUCCAUCUCUUUCUAUAAAAACAAAUGUAAAAAUUCAACAGAAUAUUGAGUCAAUACAAUUUAGAAAUUGUAUUGCUCUGCUCAGCUGGAUGUUUUAAGUGUCUUUUUAAUCCUGGAUGAUCUAUAGAUUAUUUGUUUCCAAGAAUACACAAAGGCAGUCUCUUCUGUGAAGUGUUCUCUUUUCUUUAUGUAGAGAAGGGGCAUCAGAGUUCCAUCUGAAAGGGGGCUGCAAGACACUGCUUCUUAGGUAUUAAUUUAGAGGAAACAGAAAGGCCUCACUCUUCAGAAACAGCUCUCGGAAUGGCAGGUUGUGUGACUGAGAAUUAAGUUCAAAACUCCAAAAUAAUUUACCCAGGAAGACUAAUGUAAAAAUUUCCAGUAGCCAGGGGAUGGUCCAUAACUGUUGCUGAAAUCGCCAUACCUUCUGUCUUAGAGGGACAUCAGACAGAAAUAAUAGCUGACACAUAAAAUGCUGGAAAAUGGGACUGAGUCACAGUCAAGGGACACUUGGUUGGGACUGGGCCAUGAGACAGGUAUAGAGUGAAAGAAUGACAAUGGACACCUUUUGAUAGUGUGAGAAUCUUUGGGUAGCUAGAAAAAGAGAAGCUUGUAGUUAAGGCUGCAAAGGAUCAGGCAAUCUCUGGGAACUAACUCAUUGUCCAGAAAAAAACAAGGAAGAUACCUAAGUGGAACCAAUGAGUUUAACCAAAAGGCAUUAUCUCAGAGAGAGGAGGGAUGUCAGCAUCACACACUAAGCAGUGCUACACUGUAGCGGCAUGGUCUUUUACUUCAUCUCAUGUUAAAGGUACCUCAUUCCUCAAGGAAUAUUAACAAGUGUUUAUAGAGCAAUGGGGACUGGGAAAUAGGACUAAGGAAUUUCUAUGAAAGAAAUAACAUAAAAAGAUUCCCUGGGAAUAAUAAUACUCAUAUAUUGCCUUCACAUAGAUUUGGAAAACUUAUAAAGCCCUUUCACUUUUGUUAUUCCUCCCCACUUCUGAGAUUAGGCUAUAUAUUACAUAUCUAGUAUGUAUAUAUGUCUAUGCAUUUGUAUAUAUGUGUGUGUAUCUGCUCCUGAUCAAUUGACAUAUUGUACUUGUACUGUGAACUUAUUGAAUAAUAGCCUAUGCAAACGUUAGUUUAAUGCCUAACCUCUAGGAAAACUGAGGACAUGGCUGUCUUUUCUUGCUGUAUCUUCUGUCUUCCAUAAUUGAGAGGAGCCUGCCAAGUAAAUACCAUUAAUACAGGAAAUA